rnacentral:rRNA from 1 species
UACGUAGGGUGCGAGCGUUAAUCGGAAUUACUGGGCGUAAAGCGUGCGCAGGCGGUGAGCUGUGUCCGAUGUGAAAGCCCCGGGCUUAACCUGGGAAUGGCAUUGGAAACUGUCUCGCUGGAGUGUGGCAGAGGGGGGUGGAAUUCCGCGUGUAGCAGUGAAAUGCGUAGAGAUGCGGAGGAACACGGAGGGCGAAGGCAGCCCCUGGGCUAACACUGACGCUCAGGCACGAAAGCGUGGGGAGCAAACAGG